rnacentral:rRNA from 1 species
GUUUAAAGAGUGCGUAGGCGGCUAUUUAAGUCAGUGGUGAAAGUCUGCAGCUUAACUGUAGAAUUGCCGUUGAAACUGUUGUUCUUGAGUAAUUAUGAAGUGGUUAGAAUAUGUAGUGUAGCGGUGAAAUGCAUAGAUAUUACAUAGAAUACCGAUUGCGAAGGCAGAUCACUAAUAAUUCACUGACGCUGAUGGACGAAAGCGUAGGUAGCGAACAGG